rnacentral:rRNA from 1 species
CGGAGGCAGCAGUGGGGAAUCUUCCGCAAUGGACGAAAGUCUGACGGAGCAACGCCGCGUGAGUGAAGAAGGCCUUCGGGUUGUAAAGCUCUGUUAUUAGGGACGAACGUUCUCUAUGUGAAUAAUGUAGGGAAGUGACGGUACCUAAGGAGGAAGCCACGGCUAACUACGUGCCAGCAGCCGCGGUAAUACGUAGGUGGCAAGCGUUGUCCGGAAUUAUUGGGCGUAAAGAGCGCGUAGGUGGGACCAUAAGUCUUAUGUAAAAGUGCGGGGCUCAACCCCGUAAAGCGUGAGAAACUGUGGUUCUUGAGUGCAGGAGAGGAAAGCGGAAUUCCCAGUGUAGCGGUGAAAUGCGUAGAUAUUGGGAGGAACACCAGUGGCGAAGGCGGCUUUCUGGACUGUGUCUGACACUGAGGCGCGAAAGCUAGGGGAGCGAACGGGAUUAGAUACCCUAGUAGUCC